CUUUUCCUUCCUUAGAGGGCACGUACGCACAAAGCUGCGGCUCACAGACCCCAUGACCCUCAUCUUUGCUUGAGUUCCGUGAAAAACCUUCCAUCUCCAGGUGUUACUUGAUGGCUAGACUAAUAUUUGCCACCAUCGCAGGACAGCCAUCAGAUAAAAGCGAUCUGAGGCAGCGGAAGUAGGAAUCUGUCACUCACUUGAUUCAGAUCUCAUCUGGCUGCAUAUCUAGAGGACUGCUUGAAGGUGGGGAAAGUAGGCUCGGAGAGGUUAACUAACGUGCUCAAGAUCUCGUGCUAAAACCUCAUGACAGGGAUUUUUAUUGAUUGCACCGUUUUGCAGAUGAAGAAAUAAGACUGGGAGAGGUGAAUCGACUUGGCUAAAUUGACAAAAUUAGUGAGCAGUGAAGGGAAUCCUCAUAACCAGCUUCCACUGAAAAGGACAGCUGAAAUCCUAAAACUAUGGAGUAUCAACACUGGAGAAAACCCAAGAGAUUGAAGCUUCUAAACUGAGCCAGUGCAAGAGAGGAGAGGAAGAGCCUGCACCAACUGCCCAAUCUCUGCACCACCACAACCCUGCCUUUUUGCCUCAUCCUCUGGAGCUGCCAUGUUGCAUGACUCCAUUCAUGCUGUUGUCAGCCAGCAGCCUGGGCUCCCGAAUUUACAGCAUCUGUGGUCCUCAGCUCUCUAGCGCACAUGCAUGUACUUGAGAAGCCAUGUGUCUUUCCAUCAUGAGGUUUAAAAUGGGUAAGCUCAUUCUCAGCAAAUGGCAGGUAUGCCUCUCCAGGUGGGAGGGCAUGACAUUUCUGCUGCGUGCC